GAUUAACGCUGGCGGUAUGCCUAACACAUGCAAGUCGAACGGAAUGCUAUUUAAGAAAAUCUCACACUAGUGAGGGAUUUUCACGAGUAGUAUUUAGUGGCGGACGGGUGAGUAACACGUUGGAACCUGCCCCAAAGUGGGGAAUAACUGCCCGAAAGGGUAGCUAAUACCCCAUAGUAUCCGAUUUAUUCGGAUUAAAGAUUUAUCGCUUUGGGAGGGGCCUGCGUCUGAUUAGCUAGUUGGUGAGGUAAAAGCUCACCAAGGCGACGAUCAGUAGCUGGUUCGAGAGGAUGACCAGCCACACUGGGACUGAGAUACGGCCCAGACUCCUACGGGAGGCAGCAGUGAGGAAUCUUCCACAAUGGACGAAAGUCUGAACGAGCGACGCCGCGUGCGGGAUGAAGGCCCUUGGGUUGUAAACCGCUGUCAGGGGGAUGAAACCGUAAGGUUGACAGAGCCCCAGAGGAAGCACGGGCUAAGUUCGUGCCAGCAGCCGCGGUAAUAUAGCGUACUC
rnacentral:rRNA from 1 species